AAAAGAUGCAACUCUAGAGUAUGCUUCUUUCCCACUAUUUGAAGACAAACUUGAAUUAUCAGUUUAAGUUGGUCCUGCUGUCAGAAGAAACAGUCUUGGAGUCUUCCCCCUUCUUCAUGUGUUCAUCAUGAAGUGUGAGAUGCACCAUGUGAAAGUUUGCAUCAUCCCAGAACAGCUGUGUUUUCCACCUGAUGUUCUGUCUGUGCUGGAGAAAAAAGAAAGAUUUUGCAUUGCUUCGUGUAUAGUGGAUCUUUUUGUCAUCAGCAGAUGGACAACAAAAAAUGGAGAAAGGUGCUGUGAAUAGUACUUGCAGAAUUAAGCGUAUGAGUAUCAAAUACCCUUGAUAAGCUACAAGGAGAACUUAUAAGAGGUAAAUGGGCAAAUCAAGAGAUUUCCUAGCUCUCCUUUCUUUUUCCUAGAACAAUGAAUAGAAAGAUUAUUGUAUUAGCACCUGAAGUAUUUUGUGGGUCAGACACAGCAAAAAGCUUAUUCUUACAUACUCAUGGAUAACCCGCAUGCAGUGUACUGUGACAUCAGUGAGGAGAACUCAAAAGGAAGAAUAUUGGAUCUUGGGCAAAUGUUAGGUUCUUCUUUUAUAUGAGAUGGAAAUUCACAUGGUUUAAAAACAAAAAAUUGUAGUAAAAUAUGCAGGUAUCUGUUCAUAAACUAGGCAAAACCCUCUGAGUGCCAAGCAGCAUCGAUCUUUAAUUAUAAACUGGCAUUAUAACACCAGUAAAAUAAGUCUGUAAAAGCCAAUUUAAAUACAACACUUCAGUAAAUAUUCUGCCUUUUCUGUGAUUUUCUAGUCUGAGUUUCUUGUGGUGCAUUUAUAUUCAUACAUCUAUCACUUCAUUAAUGAGUUUUCGUAUAAAUUGACCCUGACUGCUGCUGUAAAAUAUAGCUUAAAUGAAGUGUGGCUUUGAGACCAGGAAGAUUAUUAAAAUAUUAAAGUAUAUACAUUGACUCAUAUGAAUAUCUUUCUUGCUAAUAUUUCAAGACUAAAUACUUUUUGUCUGAAAGACAACCUUUAAUGAACAAACUUGUGAUCCAAAAUGUACAAAGCUCCCUCUGGAUCUGAUUUUUCACUGGCUUCCAUGCUUUAGUCACUUAUACAUCUGAAAAAUGAACUUUAAAUGGCAUCAUUUAAGCUAGUAGCCUUUGACACUCAUUUUACUUAAAUACAGACAAGUGGUUAAAGUACAAAACAGAGGAAAGCUGCAUCCCUUGUCUUUUCUGUGAAAUAUAAGCAUGAGAUGGUGAUAGAAAUUAAUAUAUUCUGUGUGUAACUAGCAAGCUCAAUUCUUGGUGGGAAAGUGCAAAAAUGAAAUUAAUUCCUUGUAAAACUGCAAAAAAUAAUGUCUCUGACUAAGCAUUUUUGUACUCAAAAGAAACACCCACAGGAAUUGCUGGGGACUCUUGCAAAAAUAUCCAUGUGCUUGACUAGGGGAUCACGGCGACUUUGUUAGGAUUUUACCCUAGGUCCUUGUGUUUUUCAUACGAAUUGUCACUCUAAUAAAAAACUUGUAAAAAUCUUUUAUUGCA
ensembl:lncRNA